rnacentral:sRNA from 1 species
UGAUCCAAAAGGCAAAAGGACAGAACAAACCAUACCUUCCCAUGAUUCGCGGGAACCACCUACUUCUAUGGAUAAGGCACCGGUUACUGGGAAGAAGCCAUCGAGAAGGAUGUCUACAAAAGGAAGCACUGGAACGAGAAAGUCUUCAAGGCUGACUCGUGUUUCUCAUGAUGUGGACACUCCUGCACUUUCUGUUGGCUGUAAUUCCAAAGAGGAAGAUAAAGAUGUCCCUGGAGUACAUACCACUGCUGUCGGCGGAAGAAGUAAACCUUCAAAGCCGAAGAAAAAUGUUUUUUUUGCUGUUGACACUACUGAGCUACCUGAUUCCAAUAAGGAAGAUAUGCAAGGAUUCAUUGAUGAACAGGUAAGUCAUGUACGUACAUUGCUAAAUAUUUUAUAAUCCAUAUGUAUAACUGUACUGUCUGCUUCGAUACAGUAUGGCGCUAAUAAUGAAAGUGAUUUUACGGCAAAUGAUGGAUUGGAUUCUUCGGCCGCUGAAGAAGAGAUAUUAGACACUGGAUUUUUAAUAGUUCCUUAUGCUGGAUCCACACAAUCCCAUCUGGUAUGUCGUCUACUAAUACUCUUAACAAUCUGUUUAAAUGGUGUACGUACAUAUUCGCUUAAGAAGUUAGUUAAACUAUGUUUCAGGAUAGAGGAAAUGUUGUUGUUGGUAAGACUGUCUUCUUAGGUUCAAUGUCUGGGACUGUCUAUGUUACACAGGAAGAGAGGCCUGUGGAAGAAGCUACUGUUGACACCGAGAUGGAAGAAGUUCUAUCUAAUGUCUCUGCAAGAGUUUCAGAGGUAGAUCUUCUGGUAAUCGUUAUAUACAGAUUUCCAUGACUAUAUGCAUAUAUAUUACAUUAAUUUCUCCACUUAUCUAACGCUUAACUCUAUGGUAGCCUAUGUUUCAGGAUAAUGGACCAAAGGAUGUUGCUGAACCUGGCUUAGUUGGUACCCAUACAAGGGCCGAUGAAAUAGCUGAUGCUGACAUAGAGAUGGUAGACAAUCCAUCAGGUUUACCUUCAACAUCUGCACAGGUAUGUGUUAGUCACUUGUUCUUUUUCCAUAUGUGUACGCCCAUAAGACUUUGAAAAUUAUUUUUGUUUCAGGAAGAAGCAAGAGAUGCCAGUGCAUCGACUGAAGCUAAUGGCAGCGAGUCAGAAGAAACUUAUGAGCCUUCUGAUGGAGAUACAACUCACAUACCUGGCACAAGUGUACGUACAUUUUUGUCACUAUGUUCUGUGUACAUAUAUAUUGUUUCAUACAUUACUAAAAAGUUUUUUUCCGAUGAUAAAUUCUACAGGUUGAGGCGGCAGGAGAAUCCAAAUUAGUGACAGGGAUGGAAGUUGAAAUACCUGAGAAACCCACAGUGAUCCCCCGUCACCAUUUCAAGUAGUUAACAAUGUAAGCUAACUCUUGCAACAAGU